UGAUAUGAUCCAAACAGAAAGUAAAUUCCAUUUGCCAGUGAUGUGGCUCUUAUGUAUUGAGAGGGACAGAUGGGGCAUUCAUAUUGCGGUGCUGGGGCGAAAUUGUUGGACUGUUACAAAAUGAAUACUGUGAAAGCAUUUGGCAAGAAUGUUUCCAUU
rnacentral:rRNA from 1 species